GGAUGCGAUCAUACCAGCACUAAAGCACCGGAUCCCAUCAGAACUCCAAAGUUAAGCGUGCCUGGGCGAGAGUAGUACUAGGAUGGGUGACCUCCUGGGAAGUCAUGGUGCUGCAUUCC
rnacentral:rRNA from 2 species